AACGUAGGUACCGAGCGUUAUCCGGAUUUACUGGGCGUAAAGCGCGUUCAGGCGGUUUGGCAAGUCGGGCAUGAAAUCUCUCGGCUCAACCGGGAGAGGUUGUCCGAUACUUCCAGACUUGAGGGCAGUAGAGGGUGGUGGAAUUCCGGGUGUAGUGGUGAAGUGCGUAGAUAUCCGGAGGAACACCAGUGGCGAAAGCGGCCACCUGGACUGCACCUGACGCUGACACGCGAAAGCUAGGGGAGCGAACGGG
rnacentral:rRNA from 1 species